UUCUCUGGGGUUGUUUACAGUCUGGCUUUGCCUAAAGUCCAUCUCUUAGCUGGACUUUAGCCAGGAACCUGACUGGAAAAAUCCUUCAGUACCC
rnacentral:pre_miRNA from 1 species